rnacentral:rRNA from 1 species
GUGCAGCAGUCGAGAAUUUUUCUCAAUGGGGGCAACCCUGAAGGAGCGACGCCGCGUGGAGGAUGAAGGCUUUCGGGUUGUAAACUCCUGUCAUCUGAGAACAAGUGUAGCCAAGUAACUACUGGCUACUUGAUAGUAUCAGAAGAGGAAGGGACGGCUAACUCUGUGCCAGCAGCCGCGGUAAUACAGAGGUCCCAAGCGUUGUUCGGAUUCAUUGGGCGUAAAGGGUGCGUAGGUGGCGCCGUAAGUGGGGUGUGAAACUUCGGAGCUUAACUCCGAAACUGCAUUCCAUACUGCGGUGCUUGAGGACUGGAGAGGAGACUGGAAUUCAUGGUGUAGCAGUGAAAUGCGUAGAGAUCAUGAGGAAGACCAGUGGCGAAGGCGGGUCUCUGGACAGUUCCUGACACUGAGGCACGAAGGCUAGGGGAGCGAACGGGAUUAGAUA